GGGGGCGUGUGGUUUCGACAGAGGGGAAAAUUAGUAGAAUGCAGGCCGAGGACGCCGGCUCCCUCGUUAAUCCGCUGGCAAGCCAGUAAUUGGCAACAACCAGAGCGCUCGCGCGCUCGCUUACGCGGCCUAAUAUCCGCGUACCUCGUCUUAGUCUCCGCCUGACGGACUAAUACACGGGGCCACUUAGUUAGGCUGCUGCGGACCUGAUGUCGAGUGGGGUCCGCAAAAGAUCACUCGGCUGGCGCAGAACGGACCCUGUCGGUGGGGGCCUGAAGCGCGAGACCCAAAUCACCGAACAUGCCUGUAGUAAGUCUGCGGUUUACCCGCUUUGGACGGGAGUGUUCGACCCCUCCCCGCCUCCACCC
rnacentral:tmRNA from 1 species